AUUGAACGCCAGCGGGAUGCUUUACACAUGCAAGUCGAACGAGUGGCGGACGGGUGAGUAAUAUAUCGGAACGUGCCCAGUAGCGGGGGGUAACUACUCGAAAACGUGGCUAAUACCGCAUACUAUUUGACGGGCCGGUAUCGGAUUAGCUAGUUGGUGGGGUAAAGGCUCACAAAGGCAACGAUCCGUAGCUGGUUUGAGAGGACGACCAGCCACACUGGGACUGAGACACGGCCCAGACUCCUACGGGAGGCAGCAGUGGGGAAUCUUGGGCAAUGGGGGAAACCCUGAUCCAGCCAUCCCGCGUGUAUGAGAAGGUCUUCGGGUUGUAAAGCACUUUUGUUAGAGAAGCGGUAUCUGCAGAAUAAGCAACGGCUAACUACGUGCCAGCAGCCGCGGUAAUUC
rnacentral:rRNA from 1 species